UUUCGCACGCCAAGGAUACAGCUACAGCCAGACCACAGACGAAGCGAAAGUUGGAAGCAGCUACAUCACUAGCGGGUAUCCAGAUGAAGCAAGGAGUGUUCAUGCUGUCCGUGUAUGCUCCUCGCAUUUCACCGAUAAUGUGUAUCUGGAUGAGAACAUCAUGGAAGUGCAACUUGGAUUGACACAAAAAAGGAACGAAUUGAAACUUGACGCCGUUCCGACAGUGUUCCACGAACAAAGCGAGCCAGCAACUUCGACACUGCAGGCAGUUCGACAGGGUCAAGCGCAAGUGAAGGACCAGGUGCUGCUGAUCAACUCCCGUCCAUCCAUGAAACGGCAUCAAACAA